UACGUAGGGGGCAAGCGUUGUCCGGAUUUAUUGGGCGUAAAGAGCGUGUAGGCGGCCUGAAAGGUCAGCUGUGAAAACUCGAGGCUUAACCUCGAGACGUCGGUUGAAACCAUCUGGCUAGAGUCCGGAAGAGGAGUGUGGAAUUCCCGGUGUAGCGGUGAAAUGCGCAGAUAUCAGGAGGAACACCGGUGGCGAAGGCGGGUCUCUGGGCCGAUACUGACACUGAGGAGCGAAAAGCGUGGGGAGCGAACAGG
rnacentral:rRNA from 1 species